rnacentral:rRNA from 1 species
AUUGAACGCUGGCGGCAGGCCUAACACAUGCAAGUCGAGCGAGCGGCGGACGGGUGAGUAAUGUCUGGGAAACUGCCUGAUGGAGGGGGAUAACUACUGGAAACGGUAGCUAAUACCGCAUACCAUCAGAUGUGCCCAGAUGGGAUUAGCUGGUAGGUGGGGUAACGGCUCACCUAGGCGACGAUCCCUAGCUGGUCUGCGAGGAUGACCAGGCAGACGGGAACUUGGAAACGGUCCAGACUCCUACGGGAGGCAACAGUGGGGAAAUGUGGAGAAAGGGGGGAAGCCUGAUGCAGCCAUGCCGCGUGUGGGGAGGAGGGCUUCGGGUUGUAAAGCACUUUCAGCGGGGAGGCGUUACCCGCAGAAGAAGCACCGGCUAACUCCGUGCCAGCAGCCGCGGUAAUUC